AGAUUGAACGCUGGCGGCAUGCCCUAACACAUGCAAGUCGAACGGGUAACAGGCCCCUUCGGGGUGCUGACGAGCGGCGGACGGGUGAGUAAGGCAUCGGAAUCUGCCCUGAUGUGGGGGAUUAACGUAGGGAAACUUACGCUUAAUACCGCAUACGACCGAGAGGGUGAAAGCGGGGGACCGAAAGGCCUCGCGCAGCAGGA
rnacentral:rRNA from 1 species